UACGAUUUCCUGCAAAUUCCAAAGUCAGAUCCCGACUGGAACGUCUCAGCCCGCCUGCCACGUCACUCCGCUCCCACCGCGUACCGUCACACCACACGCUGCCGUUUUCUCUUCACAACCGAGAGCCACACGGCAGGACACUGCACUCUGCUGUGGAUUUUUACUAAAACUGUAUCCUGGUGGUGUGUGUCUAUAGAAAUGCCUGGGAGUGAGAUACGCACACACACACUCUCUCUCUCACACACACUCACACACGCACACACACACAUGCACACUCCUCUGGACUGAACUGGCCGUGUGUCCAGGGCAGUGACCUGCAGCUCGACUAGCUGAUUUGCCCCCUCCGUUAAUGCCUCCCUCCCCCCCGCCUGCCCAGUGUUCAGACUACCUGUUCAUUACGCUGCAGCUGAACAGUAGUCCGCACAUUGGUUAGGCUGGGCCGGGACACACACACGUCAGAAAAGACGAAGCUAUAACUUUUUAGCUUUGGGAUGCAGGAGAGGGACUCGGCGGUCAGGACGAACCAGUACUCCUUGGAUCCUCCCUUCAUGAAGCUGAUGUUGAUGGUGAGCCAGCCUUUGCGGAUCACCUGUGCAGAGGGACGGGAGGGAAAACGUCACAGGGCAGCGGAGACAUUCGACUUUACCAAAACACACACAGACACAGACACACAGACACACACACAUGUCUCAGGCUGAGAGCAGCUGUGUGUGAAAACACUCACAGUGAACACCUGCUCACACUUACCUGCACAGGAACAUGGGUUCGAACAGGAACGACAAUCUGUACUGCGUGAUUUGCAAAAUUGUUAUUUAAAAUGACUAUUUAUUAUUUUUAUUAAAAUUGUUCAUGAAAGUUGA